rnacentral:lncRNA from 1 species
UCCCAGGAGCCCAUCCAUGCCCAUGCACAGGGCUCGAUGACACUUGCCAUAGAAAGACCUCAAGGUCACUGAGUGUGCUCCCUCACCAUCAGGGACAGUGUUGCCAGCAAGUCAGGCAUUCCAGUGCCCAGCCUCUCGCAGUUCUCCCCCAGGAGUGUGUACACAAGCGUGUCCUCCAGGCUUGGGCUUACCCUCCACUUCCGUCUCUAUCUCUGUUGCAGGAAGAGAUGAAGCACUGCAGAGGAAAGCCCAAAGUGAGCGCUGGAAAUCCAAACAGGAGGAGGAAAAAAGCAGCCAGAUAGCCUCAAGAGAUGAGGCUGAGACAAGACGGACAGGAAGAAACAAGGAACCGUUCAUUGAGCUUCCUGUGCCCCUAACAAUAUCAUUGUCUGGUUGGGAAUCAGAGCAAG